rnacentral:tRNA from 1 species
GGAGAUGUAGCUCAGUUGGUAGAGCACUUGCCUUGCAUGCACAAGGCCCUGCGCUCAAUUCCCAGCACCCCCC